CGCGGCCUAUCAGCUUGUUGGUGGGGUGAUGGCCUACCAAGGCGACGACGGGUAGCCGGCCUGAGAGGGUGUCCGGCCACACUGGGACUGAGAUACGGCCCAGACUCCUACGGGAGGCAGCAGUGGGGAAUAUUGCACAAUGGGCGCAAGCCUGAUGCAGCGACGCCGCGUGGGGGAUGACGGCCUUCGGGUUGUAAACCUCUUUCACCAUCGGCGAAGCCCAUGAUUUUUGUUGUGGGUGACGGUAGGUGGAGAAGAAGCACCGGCCAACUACGUGCCAGCAGCCGCGGUAAUACGUAGGGUGCGAGCGUUGUCCGGAAUUACUGGGCGUAAAGAGCUCGUAGGUGGUUUGUCGCGUUGUCCGUGAAAUUCCCUGGCUUAACUGGGGGCGUGAGGGCGAUACGGGCAGACUGGAGUACUGCAGGGGAGACUGGAAUUCCUGGUGUAGCGGUGGAAUGCGCAGAUAUCAGGAGGAACACCGGUGGCGAAGGCGGGUCUCUGGGCAGUAACUGACGCUGAGGAGCGAAAGCGUGGGGAGCGAACAGGAUUAGAUACCCUGGUAGUCCACGCCGUAAACGGUGGGUACUAGGUGUGGGUUUCCUUCCUUGGGAUCCGUGCCGUAGCUAACGCAUUAAGUACCCCGC
rnacentral:rRNA from 1 species